UACACAUGCAAGUCGAACGGUAGCACAGGGGGGCUUGCUCUCCGGGUGACGAGUGGCGGACGGGUGAGUAAUGUCUGGGGAUCUGCCCGAUAGAGGGGGAUAACCACUGGAAACGGUGGCUAAUACCGCAUAACGUCGCAAGACCAAAGAGGGGGACCUUUCGGGCCUCUCACUAUCGGAUGAACCCAGAUGGGAUUAGCUAGUAGGCGGGGUAAUGGCCCACCUAGGCGACGAUCCCUAGCUGGUCUGAGAGGAUGACCAGCCACACUGGAACUGAGACACGGUCCAGACUCCUACGGGAGGCAGCAGUGGGGAAUAUUGCACAAUGGGCGCAAGCCUGAUGCAGCCAUGCCGCGUGUAUGAAAAAGGCCUUCGGGUUGUAAAGUACUUUCAGCGGGGAGGAAGGCGACGUGGUUAAUAACCGCGUCGAUUGACGUUACCCGCAGAAGAAGCACCGGCUAACUCCGUGCCAGCAACCGCGGUAAUACGGAGGGUGCAAGCGUUAAUCGGAAUUACUGGGUGU
rnacentral:rRNA from 1 species